rnacentral:lncRNA from 1 species
CACUCAUGGCCAAGGACUACAAUGGCCUCAUCGUCGGUUACGUCCUUGCCAAGAUGGAAGACGAAAUCAACCAGUGCCACGGCCACAUCAUCUCUCUCGCCGUCAAGCUUGGCCUUGUCAUUAAGCUAAUGAAUAUGUUUUGAAACUUUUAUGUACCACAUUAAAACAAACCCCAAAAUACAGGGGUCAUUGAUGUCAUUAUCCAUAUAAAUUAUCAAGGAAGAAAGAACAAAUAUUAUAGGAGAAGCAAAGCAGGCAGAUAAACUUUGAUGUCUUAUCAUCCACGUGGAGUUAUGCAAUAGGAUGAGAAAAUUCAGGUUAAGAAAAGAAAAUGCAAAACUGCUUCUGGUCUCAAAUCUCACUCACAUUGAAACAGAAUCCUGAUAGAUUACAGAUUUGUAACCUUCAUUCCAAGUGUUUGCUAAUCAUCUACAAAUGGCGCUGUGGGCAACUUCUUG